UACGUAGGGUGCGAGCGUUAAUCGGAAUUACUGGGCGUAAAGCGUGCGCAGGCGGUUUUGUAAGCCAGAUGUGAAAUCCCCGGGCUUAACCUGGGAAUGGCAUUUGGGACUGCAAGGCUUGAGUGCGGCAGAGGAGACUGGAAUUCCAGGUGUAGCGGUGAAAUGCGUAGAUAUCUGGAGGAAUACCGGUGGCGAAGGCGGCAUCCUGGACCGACAUUGACGCUGAUGAGCGAAAGCUAGGGGAGCAAACGGG
rnacentral:rRNA from 1 species